AGUGGCAUUGUUGGAUCAUAUAGUAAUUCUAUUUAUUAGUAUUUUUCAGACACCAUAAUGCUGUUUUUCAAAAUGGAUUACUAGUUUGCAUUCCCACCAGUAGU
rnacentral:pre_miRNA from 1 species